GCCGGGCGUGGUGGCUCACGUCUGUAAUCCCAGCACUUUGGGAGGCUGAGGCGGGUGGAUCACCUGAGGUCAGGAGUUCGAGACCAGCCUGGCCAACAUGGUGAAACCCGCCUCUA
rnacentral:sRNA from 1 species